UACGGAGGGUGCAAACGUUGCUCGGAAUCAUUGGGCGUAAAGCGCACGUAGGCGGCCCAGCAAGUCGGGUGUGAAAGCCCUCGGCUUAACCGAGGAAGUGCAUUCGAAACUACUGAGCUUGAAUACUGGAGAGGAUCGCGGAAUUCCCGGUGUAGAGGCGAAAUUCGUAGAUAUCGGGAGGAACACCAGUGGCGAAGGCGGCGAUCUGGCUCGACACUGACGCUGAGGUGCGAAAGCGUGGGGAGCAAACAGG
rnacentral:rRNA from 1 species